AGUGAACGCUGGCGGCGUGCCUAAUACAUGCAAGUCGAACGGAGUGGCGCAAGGGUGAGUAAUGUAUAGCUAAUCCUCCCUACACUAGAGGACAACAGUUUGAAAAGGCUGCUAAUACUCUAUAGUGUAGGAUGAGGCUAUAUUGUAUCAUCUAGUUGGUGAGGUAAUGGCUCACCAAGGCUAUGACGCAUAACUGGUCUGAGAGGAUGAUCUGUCACACUGGAACGGAGACACGGUCCAGAAUCCUACGGGAGGGAGCAGUAGGGAAUAUUGCUCAAUGGGGGAAACCCUGAAGGAGCAACGCCGCGUGGAGUAUGACACUUUUCGGAGCGGAAACUCCUUUUGUUAGGGAAGCGGUACCUAACGAAUAAGCACCGGCUAACUCCGUGCCAGCAGCCGCGGUAAUUC
rnacentral:rRNA from 1 species